rnacentral:rRNA from 1 species
UACAGAGACUGCAAGCGUUAUUCGGAUUCACUGGGCGUAAAGGGUGCGCAGGCGGCCAAGUGUGUCAGAUGUGAAAUCCCGAGGCUUAACCUCGGAACUGCGUCUGAAACUACUUGGCUAGAGUACUGGAGAGGGUAACGGAAUUCACGGUGUAGCAGUGAAAUGCGUAGAUAUCGUGAGGAACACCAGAGGCGAAGGCGGUUACCUGGACAGUUACUGACGCUCAGGCACGAAAGCGUGGGUAGCAAACAGG